AGCGAACGCUGGCGGCAGGCUUAACACAUGCAAGUCGAUCGGGCACUUUCGGGUGUCAGCGGCGGACGGGUGCGUAACGCGUGGGAACGUGCCCUCUGGUUCGGAAUAACUCAGGGAAACUUGAGCUAAUACCGGAUACGCCCUUUUGGGGAAAGGCUUGCUGCCGGAGGAUCGACCCGCGUCUGAUUAGCUAGUUGGUGAGGUAACGGCUCACCAAGGCGACGAUCAGUAGCUGGUCUGAGAGGAUGAUCAGCCACACUGGGACUGAGACACGGCCCAGACUCCUACGGGAGGCAGCAGUGGGGAAUAUUGGACAAUGGGCGCAAGCCUGAUCCAGCCAUGCCGCGUGAGUGAUGAAGGCCUUAGGGUUGUAAAGCUCUUUUAUCCGGGACGAUAAUGACGGUACCGGAGGAAUAAGCCCCGGCUAACUUCGUG
rnacentral:rRNA from 1 species